GUGGAGCCGAGGAGGAUUGAACUAUGGCCAUAACAGCCCCUGGGCAACAACUCAACCUUAACGAGUCUCCCUGUUGGGGAUCCAGAAGUGUCGAUUGUUUCGAGAAAUUGGAGCAGAUUGGCGAGGGCACUUAUGGUCAAGUUUACAUGGCCAGGGAAAUAAAGACAGGUGAAAUAGUUGCUUUGAAGAAAAUAAGAAUGGACAAUGAAAGAGAGGGGUUUCCCAUAACGGCAAUACGUGAAAUCAAAAUUCUAAAGAAGCUACAUCAUGAAAAUGUAAUCAAGUUGAAAGAGAUUGUGACAUCUCCUGGUCCUGAGAAGGAUGAGCAGGGGAGGCCAGAUGGUAACAAGUAUAAAGGUGGAAUAUACAUGGUCUUUGAAUACAUGGACCAUGAUUUGACAGGUCUUGCUGAUCGUCCUGGGAUGAGAUUUUCAGUUCCUCAAAUUAAGUGUUAUAUGAGGCAGCUUCUGACGGGGCUUCACUAUUGUCAUGUAAACCAAGUACUUCAUCGUGAUAUCAAAGGUUCUAAUCUUCUCAUAGACAAUGAGGGUAAUCUAAAGCUUGCAGAUUUUGGGCUUGCCAGGUCAUUCUCAAAUGAUCACAAUGCAAAUCUAACAAAUCGUGUUAUUACUUUAUGGUACAGACCUCCUGAGUUGCUUCUUGGGACAACAAAGUAUGGUCCAGCUGUUGAUAUGUGGUCUGUUGGCUGCAUUUUUGCUGAACUUCUUCAUGGGAAGCCAAUUUUUCCUGGAAAAGAUGAGCCAGAACAAUUAAAUAAGAUUUUCGAGUUAUGUGGAGCUCCAGAUGAGGUUAAUUGGCCUGGGGUUUCCAAGAUUCCUUGGUAUAACAAUUUUAAACCAACAAGGCCAAUGAAGAGACGUCUAAGGGAGGUUUUCAGACAUUUUGACCGUCAUGCGUUGGAGCUCUUGGAGAGAAUGCUGACUCUUGAUCCUUCUCAGAGAAUAUCUGCAAAGGAUGCACUUGAUGCCGAGUAUUUCUGGACUGAUCCAUUGCCUUGUGACCCCAAGAGUUUACCCAAAUAUGAAUCAUCACAUGAAUUUCAGACAAAGAAAAAGCGCCAGCAACAAAGACAGCAUGAUGAAAAUGCAAAACGUCAGAAACUGCAACACCCGCAGCAGCAUGGCCGCCUUCCACCCAUUCAGCAGUCUGGGCAGGCACAUCCGCAAAUGAGGUCAGGGCCUAAUCCACCCAUGCAUAAUUCUCAGCCCCCAGUUGCUGCAGGGCCUAGCCACCAUUAUGGAAAGCCUCGUGGGCCUGCAGGUGGGCCAGGGAGAUAUCCACCUAGUGGAACAAGUGGAGGAUACAAUCAUCCAAAUCGGGGAGGUCAAGGUGGUGGAGGUUAUGGGAGCGGACCAUAUCCUCCACAAGGGCGGGCACCACCUUAUGGUUCAAGUGGCAUGACUGGUGCUCCUCGUGGUGGAGGGAGCAGUGGAUAUGGAGUUGGUGCUCCAAAUUAUCCUCAAGGUGCACCAUAUGGCAGUUCUGGUGCUGGUCGUGGCUCGAACAUGAUGGGUGGAAACCGCAACCAGCAGUAUGGUUGGCAACAAUAGUGUGGUUUGAUGAUUAAUUGUACUGUAAGAACAUGUUGAAAUGACAUUGAAUGAGAAGGCAUAUGAUUAAAGUGGUCAGUCCUUGGAGUUUCCUCGUGGUUCUUGUGCGCUUUCUAUUUGAUCUCCGCUAGAGAAUAUUUUGUGGGUUGCAUUACACCCUUCAAUCAGCUGGGAAGAUUCUUAAACAGAGACUGUUUGGAUUACCUUCUGUUUGUUCCUAAUCGGUGGAUACUUGUGGUUGCUGUGUACAUUUGUGAGCACUGACCAAUGUGCUGUUUGCAAUUUUUUUGCAGGCCAGUUAUAUUGUUUGUUCUCACGAGCGGUUAAAAUGAAGCUCAGGGAGUAAUGUUACUUAUGAUGAACGGCUAGCUCUAAUCUAUGUUUUAUUUUUUGCGAUAUGCUUGAUUUUCUCCCUCCCUAUCUCCAAAGAUGGUGACUGUUUGGUUAUUUAUGUAAUUAUAGAGGUUAAGAUGAAAUCAUGAUUAGAAUCCUCAUCACUUAUGGAGAUUUCACAUGGGAUUAGGUUGUGUUUUUUUUUUUUUUUGAAUUUGGAAUUUG
rnacentral:misc_RNA from 1 species